ensembl:lncRNA
GAGUUCCUUUCCUCUCAGGGCUGAGUUCCUAGAAAUCAGCACAGUUCCCAGCACAGAGGAGAUGUACAUUCAUACGUGCUGCUGAGAUCCACCCUGGGCCCCUGCUCUGAUUCCUGUAGUUGGCUCAUGCUGCCCACCCGGGCCAGAGAAAGCACAGCAGGGUGGCCUGAAGGGCACAUGGAGCCCCAGAGGCAGCUCUUGGAUCUGGAACCAACCUAGAUCCCUCCCUUGCAUUGGGACAGGAUAGGGAAGGUGCUAGGCACUGACCACUAGGCAUUCAAGGGAGGAAGAAUCUGAGAGCAAAGCCCAGGGUAUCCCGGCACCCUUCCACCAAAUACCCAGUGCCACCAGCUCCUACAGUUCCUUCCAGAAGUGGCCCACGUCUGGCCUGAUCCCUCAUCCCACCAGACACACACCUAAGCACACUCUGUGCCACCCGACAGAGACCUUGCUUCUUCGGGCUGAUGAUGACAAGUGAAACCAGUCAGCACCAGGGGGAUCUGACGUGGACCCAGCCCUCCAGGAAAUAGCACUGCAGCGGGAGGCUCCUGAGACACGCCUUAGACCACAGUGGGUGGGGCCCAGCCGCUGCCUGUCCUCUUGCUGCCCUGCCCAGGAAGAAGCCAGCCAGAGAGAUGUCUGACCCAUCGGUCCUCCCCUCUGUCCUCUGGCCUGAUCCCCCUCCUCUCCCCAUGGUGGCUCAGGCUGGCCGUGCCCUUCCCAUCCUGUGGGCCAGCGGUCUAGGGUGGGGAGCUCAUGGUGGGAGUGAAGCCAUCUCGGCUCUGACCUGGGCUAGGCCCAAACCUGCCUCCCUUGGGGCCUUAUUCUGGUUGGAAGAAAAGAGCCGCUUUAGUCUCUGACUCGUGGAGACAGACAACCAGAAUCUUUCUCCUAAGCUUUUCCUCAGGACUCACCUCAUUGUGCAUCUGCUUGAAGCCCUUUCUAGAUAAAAAUGAGUAAAAUGCACAGAUCUAUAAGUCUCUGUAUGUAUGCAAAUGUACUUUGUGUGGUGUCAUCGGUCUAGCAAAACCCAU